ACGAACGCUGGCGGCGUGCUUAACACAUGCAAGUCGAACGCGAAAGUCCUUCGGGAUGAGUAGAGUGGCGCACGGGUGAGUAAUAGAUAGGAACGUACCUGUUGGUGUGGAAUAACUCAGGGAAACUUGAGCUAAUACCGCAUAAGAUCGAAAGAAGAAAGGGGGCCUCUGCUUGCAAGCUCUCGCCGACAGAUCGGCCUAUCUCCCAUUAGCUUGUUGGUGAGGUAAAGGCUCACCAAGGCGACGAUGGGUAGCUGGUCUUAGAGGACGACCAGCCACACUGGAACUGAGACACGGUCCAGACUCCUACGGGAGGCAGCAGUGGGGAAUCUUGCACAAUGGGCGCAAGCCUGAUGCAGCAACGCCGCGUGAGUGAUGAAGGCCCUUGGGUCGUAAAGCUCUUUCGGCUGGGAAGAAGUGGCUGACACCUAACACGUGAUAGCUAUGACGGUACCAGCAGAAGAAGCACUGGCUAAUUCCGU
rnacentral:rRNA from 1 species